UGCGUUCGGAGAUUAUGUGUGAAGUGGUUGCGAUAUCUGGAAAAUGUUGUAGGAAUGGUUGCAGUUGAAGGGACGUUUUCAAGUGAGUGAGCAGUGGAAGGUUGUAGGGUGUUUUAUACAAAGAAGAGCACAAGCCGAUUUUAAUGAGUGCAGAAUAAAAGCGUUAAGUAUCAAAGCUUGGAGCUUCAUUGUAAGGAAUUCAGAUUUCCACCGAACCUACCUAGUUUCUAAGAUCAAUAAACAUCUAUACCUUGUUUAGCCUCAGUGGCUACUUGACUUGUGGAAAUCAAUAUAAAUUUAUAGCUCCUAAACCGCGUAUUUACAGCGAAAUACAGAACAGCGGAGGAAGCAGUUAGAUUUGGUUAAAUUAAGAGCUCGACCCUAACAGAUAUCUCACUUGAACAGCUUCGAACGCCGGUCCGUUAUGGUACUUAAAAACUCCUAUAUGUUAUACUGACUUAUAAGAACAUUAUAAAUCGACAAGGCGCUUUGAGCCUUUUGUAUCACAAA